GCCCCCGUAGCUCAGCAGGAUAGAGCGGUUCCCUCCUAAGGAAAAGGUCGUGCGUUCGAAUCGCGCCGGGGGCGCCA
rnacentral:tRNA from 1 species